AGAUAAGGAGCUUGCUCCUUUGACGUUAGCGGCGGACGGGUGAGUAACACGUGGAUAACCUACCUAUAAGACUGGGAUAACUUCGGGAAACCGGAGCUAAUACCGGAUAACAUAUUGAACCGCAUGGUUCAAUAGUGAAAGGCGGCUUUGCUGUCACUUAUAGAUGGAUCCGCGCCGUAUUAGCUAGUUGGUAAGGUAACGGCUUACCAAGGCAACGAUACGUAGCCGACCUGAGAGGGUGAUCGGCCACACUGGAACUGAGACACGGUCCAGACUCCUACGGGAGGCAGCAUUAGGGAAUCUUCCGCAAUGGGCGAAAGCCUGACGGAGCAACGCCGCGUGAGUGAUGAAGGUCUUCGGAUCGUAAAACUCUGUUAUCAGGGAAGAACAAAUGUGUAAGUAACUGUGCACAUCUUGACGGUACCUGAUCAGAAAUCCACGGCUAACUACGUGCCAGCAGCCGCGGUAAUACGGUGGUAAGCGUUAUCCGGAAUUAUUGGGCGUAAAGCGCGCUUAGGCGGUUUUUUAAGUCUGAUGUGAAAGCCUACGGCUCAACCGUGGAGGGUCUUUGUAAACUGAAAACUUGAGUGCAGAAGAGGAAAAGCGGAAUUCCUUGUGUUAGCGUUGAAAAUGCGCAGAGAUAUGGGAGGAACACCAGUGGGAAGGCGACUUUCUGGUCUGUAACUGACGCUGAUGUG
rnacentral:rRNA from 1 species